AGACAAGCACAGAGAGACACAAUUAUACGCUCCCUUCCCAGAGUCUUGCUGGUUCAAGCCUCUGUGUGUAUUCUUAUUCAUCAGAGUUCAAUCCUUCCUUUACUUUGCAAACGCAACAUAGUGGUGCCCCGUGUGAGGCAAAGCUAAAAAGAAACGUUUGAGGCUUGUAAAAAAAAACCUCAGCGUGUGAGGCAAAGCUAAAGGAAACCUCAACAAAAGGAAACCCCCAGGAUUGGACUCCCCUCGGAGCUAGCAACCUGCUAUCCCUCAGUCACGGUGGAUCAUCUCCUGCAAAACAAUUCCCGGACUUAGGAUCUCAUUCGCUCGGAACGAGCCCCAAAGACGCACAUCUAUUACCCUUCAGGUGAGAUCAUGGGAAGCAAGCUUUCACAUGAGCAGGAAAAGCAUAGGAAUAAUUUGUUAUUUUUGCUAGCUCAGGCAGGGCAUGAUAAGCAUUUAGCACCCCUAGUAGAAAAUUUGUUGUUAGAAAUUGCUAGACUGUGCCCCUGGUUUCCAGAGGGGGGUACUUAUGAUAUUAAGAAAUGGAAUGAGCUGGGAGAUGCACUCCAUAGACAUCCUGAGGCAUCUGUACAAGUCUUGCACACCUGGCAUUUGUGUAGAGAUGCAGUUGGAAAGCUCUCUAACCCUUUACUGUAACCACCAGCUGUCUCUAUGAAUGUUCCCAUAUUGUUGCAACCCCUAGCUGCUUUUAAAAAUACCAUAAUAUUGUUACCUCCAUCUCAGCCUCUAGAUUUCCAGCCUCUCUCCUCUGAGGCCAUGCCAAAGGUAAUUCCAUUGGCACCUUCCUUUGCCAAAAAUUUGCCUGGGUCGAAUGUAAAUUCCAUGCCACCUUCGGUGGACCAAUGCCUGCAAGGGGCUCAGAUCACAAUGCAAAAAUUGGUUAUUCCAAAUAUGGCAGAAGGAAGCAGUGAAGAAAAAACAGCUGACACCUUACCAUUAUUAGCAGUCUGUCCUGUUGUUCAGAAUGCACAGGAACAGAGAGCCCAUGUAUCAUUCCCCUUCGCAGUUUUUAAACAAUUGAAGCGAAGUGUGACAGAAAAUGGCUUGCAUGGCAUUCUUGAUGGGCUAAGAGGAGCCAGUACUUUAAUUCCAAACCUUGAAGCCUCUGAAGUCUUAAUGAAACAAUGAAAAUGAAAAUGAAAAUUCUGAUUGCAAGACUGCUGUUAAAGCGAUGUAUCAGAAGCCAGAAACAGAGAUUGCUCAAAUGAUUAAGCCUUGCCAGAAUAUUGACACCGAGACUCACAAAUCUGCCCUCCUAGCAGCAGCUUUGUCUCCUUCAGUGCAUCCUGCUAAAGACAGGCAAUGCCACAACGGAUGGCCUUCCAGCCUGGGUUUGAAUGGGAGAACAAAGACUGUUGUGCCAGCUGAUUGUCCGUCUUUUACUGAAGCUAAAUUAGAAGCAAUAGCUGGCUCUUCUAACACAGUAGCUUUUAACACACAGUCUCCUGUGACAAAUCUGCGCCAUGCCGCUAAGGGCAGUGCUGGUUUGAAUCUAAUGGCAGCAGAACUUGCUACUUUUCAGUUCCAGUUCCCUAUGGUGGAAAUUAAGACGUAGCAUACAGGUCUGAUUCCACCUCAGACAGUGAGACUCAUUCUUCAUCGCCUAUUGCGGACUGUUUUUUCUCCUUUCCUCCCUAAGCUUAAAAUUCCUAAUGAAUUUACUUUACAGCAGUUGCAGAGUUUUGGAGUCACUUCAUAUGCAUGAUUCUCCUUAAUACAAUGUUUUCACCUACAGGACUACUUUUUCCCCAGACACUGCUGACAGAAUAGUGAUUUUUAGAGUGGCUACACUCUGAUUUGCCUAACACUGGAUUUGAUAUUGCUGCUUGUUAUUUGCUUUUUUUCUAAAACAGGAGCAUGAGUCUUUAAUGAGUUCUUCUCUUUUCUAUCUGUUUGCAUUUACUGAUUAUAUUGGGAUAGUUUAUUUUAACCCUCCUAAAGAUUCACGCCUAGUUUUAAUUCAACAGAUACCCUGAAAUUUGGUUUCUGUCCAAAAACAGGUUCCUAUUCAACACUCUAGAGUGUUUUAACGUAUAAGGAUUCUGAAAAUAACUGGCAUUUAUUUUUUUGCGGCUAAUCAGGAAACUAACAUACACUUCCACUGCAUUUUGUGAUUUUGUGUGAAGUUUGUGUGAAGUUUAUCACAUUUGGCUAAUUUCUAUCUUUCUCCUAUGCUAGAUUUUAAUCUAUUCUCUUUGUUCUUGACACUGAAAUCUCUCUUAACAAAUAGAAUUGCGCCUUUCUAUGCUGCUCAUGUUUGCUCUCACGUUUGCUCCCAUACAGGAUUCAAAGAUAUAAUUUCAGAAGGAAAUCAACAUGCUGAUUCUGCUCUGAAAUCAUUCUGUCCAUUAUUUUCUAAUGCAAUUGAUACCCAUGCAUUUUUUCAUCAGGGAAUUAUGCAGCUGAUUUUAAACUAUUUUUUCCCCUCUGACACAAGCUAAGGAUAUCGUUGAUGGAUGUCCUUCAUGCACUUUAACUUCUGUUAACUUUAAAGGUAAAGGUAAAGGUACCCCUGCCCAUACGGGCCAGUCUUGACAGACUCUAGGGUUGUGCGCUCAUUUCACUCUAUAGGCCGGGAGCCAGCGCUGUCCGCAGACACUUCCGGGUCACGUGGCCAGCGUGACAAGCUGCAUCUGGCGAGUCAGCGCAGCACACGGAACGCCGUUUACCUUCCCGCUGGUAAGCGGUCCCUAUUUAUCUACUUGGACCCGGGGGUGCUUUCGAACUGCUAGGUUGGCAGGCGCUGGGACCGAGCGACGGGAGCGCACCCCGCCGCAGGGAUUCGAACCUCCGACCAUGCGAUCAGCAAGUCCUAGGUGCUGAGGUUUUACCCACAGUGCCACCCGCAUCCCCUGUUAACUUUACCUUAAAUCAAUUAACUGUUUUCUUUCCCAGAGUCUUGCUGCUUCAAGCCUCUGUAUGUAUUCUUAUUAAUCAGAGUUCAAUCCUUCCUUUACUUUACUUUGCGAAUGCAACACCUUGCCAAAGGUUAAUGGAUGUUUGGAGAGAAUUCUCAUCUGGCAGAACUAGAAGGGGUGGGGACAGGUGUCUGGAAUAUAAUGAUCAUGGUCAUCAGCCUCUUUUUCUGGGACUGCAAGAUCACUGGUGUGAUGAAACGUUUGUUCCGCGACACUGUUCCAACCUGCCUGUUCUAUUGCUACCCAAUUUCACCAGCUUGCUGAGAAGAGUUCAUUAUGCUUUUGGUCAUCUGAUUACAUUUUAGGGAAAUGUUGCAAACUACCAAAGAUGAAGAAAAUGUUUCUCUCUGCAACAGAGUAAUGUUACAGCAUGUAACUGAUUGCUCAUCUGCUCAGCCCAACAGUCUUUGUGGGAUAUUGCUAUAUGCCAGAUUAAGACCUCAUUCAGCCAGAAUUUUAUACAUUGACAAGGGUGCUGGUGUUGCGUUUAUUACUGAGAUGUUGGUGGGUGAUCGACAUAAUACAUUUCCUGGAAAAACUGAAAUAUAAAUUUUGUUGCUCCUUUAAACUUUAUCUUUUAGGCCUUUCAUUCUUUUUGCUGGAAUAUUAGCAAAUAUUUUAUAAUCACAAUUUAGUAAUGAAAUUGGUCUACAAUUUUUAAGCUCCAAUCUAUCUGCAUCUUGUUUUGGAGUUAAAAUAAUAUAUGCCUCUUCCCAGGUCUUUCCCCAGGUCUUUCACCUAUUGUGAAUAUUUCAGUAAUCACAUUUUGUAAUGGUUGAAUUAUAUAAUUUUAUUAAUCAAAUCAAAUAAUCAAAACUAAUAGUUUUCCUUUUGUUUAAUUGCCAUGCUAAUAGCUUCCCUGGCUUAUUAGCAUGCUAAAAGUUUUUCUGCUUCAAUAUUUUUAUUUUCAUUCCAUUUCUUGAUUAAUUAUCCUUGAAUACUGUGAUUGUAAUAUUUUAACUGCAUGUUUAGUCAUUUCCUUUUCUGGAUUAUUUACUAACUCUUUUUCUUUUUUGAUUAACUCAUCCAAAAUCUCUUUUUUCUUCUGCUCUCUAGCCUUCUUUUGGUAAGCAUUUUGGCUUAUAUAAAAGCCUCUAAUCACUGAUUUGCUUUCAUCCCAUACGACAUUAUUAUCUGUACCUUAAUUGUUAUUUAAUUCAAAAUAAUCUUUUGUGAUUUAUUUUCAGCCUUCACCACUAUUUCCUGAUUAUCUAAUAAAUCUUUGUUUAAUUUCCACCUUCUUGGUGUGUUUCUUUCACCAUUUGUUUGUAUCAGAACUGCGUUAUGAUCCAAAGGGUUCCUUGUUAAUAUAUCUGCUGUCUUUACCACUAAAGAAAUUUCUUUGGAAAGCCAAACAGAGUCUGUCCGGCUGCUCGACUGGUGUACAUCUUAGAAGAAUGUGUAUUCUCAAUCCAAUGGGUGUUUAUAUCUUCAAGCAUCAAUUAAGCUUAGAUUUUCCAUCAUAUCAAAGAAGGUUAAUGGUAAUUUCCCUUCUUCCAAUUCCAAUUUCCUUAUUGUUCUAUCCAUUUCCAAAGAGAAUACCCCAUUCAUAUCUCCUAAUAAAAUUACUGUUUGAUCCAUGUAUUCCAUUAGGUUAAUUUCUAGAUCUUUAAAGAAUUCCAACUUCUUUUCAUUGGGAGCAUAUAAACAAAUUAUAUCUAAAUUUUGUUUCAAUAUUAUGGGCACUAUUUUGUUUCUUUUAACUUGACUGUUUAUUCCGUUAACAUUCCAGCUUAAUAAUCUCAUGUCAGCCAUUUUGCUUAUGUUAUUAGAGUCUUGUCCUGUCUUUUUUACCUUUUUGCUUUUUCUUAUUUUACUCUUUCUCCUCCUCUUGACUAUCUACACUCUCCUCAGGUUUUCCUGGGUCCUGUCCUCCAACUGCACCCUCCAAAGAGGGAUCCGUUCCUCCAAAAUCCUUAUAGUUUUUCCUCCAAAACAUUUCUACCUCCUCUGAUUCUCUGAUUCUAUGCUUUUUAUCUUUAUAUGUGAAGGAGAUGCCUUCAGGAUACUGCCAGCAAUACCUAAUAACAUUUAUUUUUAGAGUGUCUACAAUGUCCUUGUAUGGGGCCCUUUUUCGAGAAGACGGGGAGGGGGAUUUCCUUAUGUCCAUAAAGGCACUGCACAAAAGUCUCAAGUUCAAGUCAAGUUCAAGUUCAGAUCCAAAAUCAAUACAAAUUGGAAACCUUUCCCUUGUUUUAGGGCAGGUUCAAGUUCAAGAUUGAGUUUCAGUAGCAAAGUACUGUUUUAUUCUUAAUUCUCCAUUAGUUGGUUUAAGUCUCAAAAACGUCCCCCCAGCACUUCACUUGUAAUGUCCGUCAUGCAGGGUAGACACCCAAAAAGUGGAGCAGACUUCCUUUUUAGCCUCCCACCUUGCUGGAAUUAAAUUACUCAAAUUAAACCGAUUAUCCUCCUCACCUUUCAAUCAGCUCAGUAUGCUGGAAAACUAACCACUCACGGCCAGAUCAGAGGCUUUGGUCUAUGGAGCUACGAUGGUGCCUAGUUCAUUGGCACUUUGCAUGUCUUCCCCCCUCUCUCUGCACCUUUCAUGACGGAAGCAGAGACCGGCAAGUCAGGAAACCAAGGCAGCCCAAUACUCCGCUUGGGGCUUUUGGGGGAGGUGCGUUGCCCUUGUGCUGUUCCCUGGAUGCUCCAUAAAGCUGAAUCUGACCGAGCUGUCAGAUUCACGGUCUAUCCGCCAUGUCACGAGAAAUAAUUCACCUAGAUCAAUCAAGAUUUCUCAUGUGUCACCAUAUUUUAAUACUUUGUUGGAAGCCUCCCAGAGUGGCUGGGGAGGCCUGGCCAGAUGGGCAGGGUAUAAAUAAAUUGCUGUUGUUAUUGUUGUGCAGGGUAUAAACAAAUUGUUGCUGUUGUUGAGAAAUAGAAACUAUUUAUUCAAGGCAGAAAGAGAGGUUGAUUAUUAAUAAUAUCACCAUUGAAGAAGGUAAUAUUAUGAAAGGAACAAGGGAGGGUUGCCCCCUCUCUGUUGUUUAUAUUAGUGUUAGAAGUCAAGAUGUGUAAUAUAAGAGCAGAUGAAAAUAUUAGAGGAGUUAAGGUGGGAAAUAAGGAAUUUAAGUUGAAAGCAUUCACUGAUGAUUUAGUAAUUAAGGUAGAAGAUCCAUUUAGAUCAGUUCAGCAGGUCAUACAGAAGAUACAAGCGUUUGGACGAGUCUCUGGUUUCAAAAUUAAUAAAAAUAAGACUAAAUUAUUAGUUAAAAAUACAUCAGAACAUGAUAAAGAAAAGAGUCAACAAGAAACAGGUAUAAACAUCCAUAAUAAAGUGAAAUAUUAAUAUCUAUAAGAACAACUAUGAAAAAGCAUGGGAGGAAAUAAAAAGGAAACUGGAGAUUUUGAAAAGAAUGAAUCUGUCUCUGUAUUUAAGAAGAACAUAUUGCUAAAAAUGUGAUUUUUGUUUGAUCAAUGCGGGUAAUAAGCAAUAUGGGAUGCUUCAAAGAUUGACAAAAAGCUAUUUCAAAAUUUGUGUGGCAGGACAAGAAGCCAAGAAUAAAAUAUAAAUUACUAACAGACAUCAAAGGUAGAGGAGGCUUCUCCCUGCCAGAUCUGAAACUAUAUUAUGAAGCCUCCUGUAUCUGCUGGACCAGGGAAUGGAUUAAAAAAACACACAAAUUUAUUAGUUUUGGAAGGUAAUUCUAAUAGAUUUGGUUGGCAUGCGCAUGAAGAGGCAAGAGUAUCUCAAAGUUUCUGAAAUCAUAUCAUAAGGAAAGUGAUUUUUAAAGUAUGGGAGAAGUAUAAAGUAUUACUGGAACAAAAAACACCAUGGUGACUCUCCCCACUAGAGGCAAUAUCGGGGGGGGGGAUAAACAUGGAAACUCGGGGCAACAUACAGAGAGCUGCUAACUGAAAUAGAAAACCAAUUAAAACUGAAAUAUUUUAAUGAAGUUAGAGAAAACGUAACAGACUGGUUACAAUAUUUUCAGUUAAAUGAAAUGUUUAAGAAUGAUUAAAAGAUAGGAUUUGCGUGUGAAAUGUCAACUUUUCAGAGAGAAAUGAUGGAAAAUCAUAUGAAACAAAUAUCUAAAAUAUACAAUCUGUUGCUGGAAUGGAAAUGAAGGAUGAAGAGGUUAAAUCAGUUAUGAUUACAUGGGCAUGAGAUUGGGACAUAAUAUUCAAUUAGUGGAAUGGGAAAAAUUAUGGAAGAAUGAUUAAAAACUUACAGCAUAUGUGGCAAGGAAAGAAAAUUAUAUGAAAAUGAUGUAUAGAUGGUAUCUAACACCAGAUAAAUCAGCAAAAAUGUAUAAAACUAAGUGUUGGAAGUGUAAAGCAACAGAGGGGAAUUUUUUCCAUAUGUGGUGGGAUUGUAAAAAUUAUAAAGAAAUAUUGGGAAAUGAUUUAUAAUGAAAUGAAGAAAAUGUUUAAAAUAAUGUUUUAGAAGCUUUCCUAUUAGGUAUUACAGGAGUGGAUUUACCAAAAUGACAAAAGAGUUUGUUUAUGUAGCACAACAUUGGAAAGAAGAAUGUGUCACAUCUAACAAAGAUUGGCAAGUUAAACUGAUGGAAUAUGCUGAAGUGGCAAAAUUGACGAUGAAACUGAGAGGAAGAGAUGACAAUGAAUUCAAGAAAGAAUGGAAUAUGUUUAUUGCAUCUAUACAGAAGCAAUGUACAUUAAUGUUAAUACAUUAGUAGGGUUUUAAGAUUACUUGUAAUUCCAUCCUGAGUGGAUUGUAGGUGAUUUACGUAUGAUAUAAAUAUAACAAUGGACAUGCAGUAAGUUGAUAAACAAUAGAACCAAGGAAGGGAUUAGAGGGAAGUCAAGUGAUUUGAGGAAGCCCACAAAUGUUUUGUUUUUGUUUUUUGCUUUUAAAAAUAUCUUAGUUCUGUGAAUGUAUAUGUUUUUGUUUUGUUUUUUGAAAAUCAAUAAUAUGUUUAAGAAAAAUAAAUAAACUUUAUCUUUUAACCU